GAUGAACGCUGGCGGCGUGCCUAAUACAUGCAAGUCGAGCGAACAGACGAGGAGCUUGCUCCUCUGACGUUAGCGGCGGACGGGUGAGUAACACGUGGAUAACCUACCUAUAAGACUGGGAUAACUUCGGGAAACCGGAGCUAAUACCGGAUCAUAUAUUGAACCGCAUGGUUCAAUAGUGAAAGACGGUUUUGCUGUCACUUAUAGAUGGAUCCGCGCCGCAUUAGCUAGUUGGUAAGGUAACGGCUUACCAAGGCGACGAUGCGUAGCCGACCUGAGAGGGUGAUCGGCCACACUGGAACUGAGACACGGUCCAGACUCCUACGGGAGGCAGCAGUAGGGAAUCUUCCGCAAUGGGCGAAAGCCUGACGGAGCAACGCCGCGUGAGUGAUGAAGGUCUUCGGAUCGUAAAACUCUGUUAUUAGGGAAGAACAAAUGUGUAAGUAACUAUGCACGUCUUGACGGUACCUAAUCAGAAAGCCACGGCUAACUACGUG
rnacentral:rRNA from 1 species